rnacentral:tRNA from 1 species
CCGGUAUUGUAAUGGUAGCAACCCAGGCUCAUAACCUGGUAGUGUAGGUUCGAUUCCUACCUGGGGU